rnacentral:rRNA from 1 species
UACGUAGGGUCCGAGCGUUGUCCGGAGUUACUGGGCGUAAAGCGCGCGCAGGCGGCUCGGCAAGCAUGGCGUGAAAGCCCCCGGCUCAACCGGGGAGGGUCGUCGUGGACUGCCGGGCUUGAGGGCGGGAGGGGCUGGUGGAAUUCCCGGUGUAGUGGUGAAAUGCGUAGAGAUCGAGAGGAACACCAGUGGCGAAGGCGAGUCCCUGGACAACUCCUGACACUGAGGCACGAAAGCUAGGGGAGCAAACAGG